rnacentral:rRNA from 1 species
CUACGGAGGGUGCAAGCGUUACUGGGAAUCACUGGGCGUAAAGCGCGCGCAGGCGGCUAUUUAAGUUGGAUGUGAAAGCCUACGGCUCAACCGUAGAACUGCAUCCAAAACUAUUUAGCUAGAGUGUGGGAGAGGAAGAUGGAAUUAGUUGUGUAGGGGUAAAAUCCGUAGAGAUAACUAGGAAUACCAAAAGCGAAGGCAAUCUUCUGGAACACUACUGACGCUGAGGCGCGAAAGCGUGGGGAGCAAACAGGAUUAGAAACCCUGGUAGUCC